rnacentral:rRNA from 1 species
CUCGUAGGCGGCUGGUCGCGUCUGUCGUGAAAACUUCCGGCUCAACCGGGGGCUUGCGGUGGGUACGGGCCGGCUAGAGUGCGGUAGGGGUAACUGGAACUCCUGGUGUAGCGGUGGAAUGCGCAGAUAUCAGGAAGAACACCGAUGGCGAAGGCAGGUUACUGGGCCGUUACUGACGCUGAGGAGCGAAAGCGUGGGGAGCGAACA